rnacentral:rRNA from 1 species
UUGGGUAACACUAACUGGAGGACCGAACCGACUAAUGUUGAAAAAUUAGCGGAUGACUUGUGGCUGGGGGUGAAAGGCCAAUCAAACCGGGAGAUAGCUGGUUCUCCCCGAAAGCUAUUUAGGUAGCGCCUCGUGAAUUCAUCUCCGGGGGUAGAGCACUGUUUCGGCAAGGGGGUCAUCCCGACUUACCAACCCGAUGCAAACUGCGAAUACCGGAGAAUGUUAUCACGGGAGACACACGGCGGGUGCUAACGUCCGUCGUGAAGAGGGAAACAACCCAGACCGCCAGCUAAGGUCCCAAAGUCAUGGUUAAGUGGGAAACGAUGUGGGAAGGCCCAGACAGCCAGGAUGUUGGCUUAGAAGCAGCCAUCAUUUAAAGAAAGCGUAAUAGCUCACUGGUCGAGUCGGCCUGCGCGGAAGAUGUAACGGGGCUAAACCAUGCACCGAAGCUGCGGCAGCGACGCUUAUGCGUUGUUGGGUA